UACGAAGGGGGGCUAGCGUUGCUCGGAAUCACUGGGCGUAAAGGGUGCGUAGGCGGGUCUUUAAGUCAGGGGUGAAAUCCUGGAGCUCAACUCCAGAACUGCCUUUGAUACUGAGGAUCUUGAGUUCGGGAGAGGUGAGUGGAAUUCCGAGUGUAGAGGUGAAAUUCGUAGAUAUUCGGAAGAACACCAGUGGCGAAGGCGACUUACUGGACACAGUAUUGACGCUGAGGUGCGGAAAGCGAUGGGGAGCAAACAGGGGAUUAAGAAACCC
rnacentral:rRNA from 1 species